UACGUAGGGGGCUAGCGUUGUCCGGAAUCAUUGGGCGUAAAGCGCGCGUAGGCGGCCAGAUAAGUCCGGUGUGAAAGUCACAGGCUCAACCUGUGAAUGCCGCUGGAAACUGUCUGGCUAGAGUCCGGAAGGGGCGAGUGGAAUUCCUGGUGUAGCGGUGAAAUGCGCAGAUAUCAGGAGGAACACCGGUGGCGAAGGCGCACAUCUGGCCCGAUACUGACGCUGAGGCGCGAAAGCUAGGGGAGCAAACGGG
rnacentral:rRNA from 1 species